AACGAACGCUGGCGGCAUGCCUAACACAUGCAAGUCGAACGAGACCUCCGGAUCUAGUGGCGCACGGGUGCGUAGCGCGUCGGGACCUGCACGUAGGCUCGGAAUAACACCCCGUCAGGGGUGCUAACGCCGGAAAAUUUCCUCUGAUCAAAGAUUGAACCCCCUUGGGUGGGCACGCGUUGGUUUAGCUGGUUGCUAGGGUAAAAGCCUAUCAAGGCUAGGAUACAUAGCUGGGUAGAGAGAAUGAUCAGCCACACUGAGACGGAGACGCGGCGCGGACUCCUACGGAAGGCAGCAGUGGGGGAUACUGCACAAUCGGGUAAGGCAUGAACCAGCAAGGCCUCGUGAGUGAUGAAGGCGUUAGGGUUGUAAAGCUCUUUUACCCGGGAUGAUAAUGACAGUACCGGGAGAAUAAGCACCGGCUAACUUCGUG
rnacentral:rRNA from 1 species